rnacentral:misc_RNA from 1 species
AAUUUGCUGCAGAAAAUCUAGUAGGUAUGUCAUUGUUUGAUUUUCUUUUUUUUAAUCACUAUUUCUUAUAGCACAAUUUGGACAGUUGUUGUCUGCUUCUGUGCAAAGCAAGAGUCCAAUGUUUUUGUGGGUUAGUCUUAAGAUAACUGUGGUAAAAUUCGGGCAGCUUAAGUUAGUUCUACCAUUUUUAUUUGUUAGAGCAUUUUGCUAAUAAAAUAAGAAUCUAAACUAAGCUAGCCAACAUCAGUACUUCUGUGCUAGUCUCAAAAUGAUCAGUGGAUGAGUUUUAGAAGUAAUGGAAAUUUCUGACCAACUGCUUACUGAUUGAAGCAUAAAUUAUCAUCGCCUAUUUAUCCACCUAAGUAGUAUCUUUUAAAAGCAUCUUGUAGAUCUUGCAAUAGGACAGGCGAUGUUUGUGCCAGAAGCAUGGCAUUGAUGAUCAUACUAAUCAUAACUGAAUUGUGUAUAACUAUUAACUCUUGUUUGGACAGUAAGUAAUAAAGGAAAAUGAAAAAUUGCACUUGCUGAUCUCUUGUUUCGAAAUUAGUGGAAUAAGGAUAGAAAGAAGAGUUCAUUGAUUUUUUGUUACCCAACAUGAUUCUCCAUUGCUACUUUAAAAAUGAACUCCUCAAAAUAUCCUUCUUUUCAAUAUGAUAUUUUAAAUAGUUUUCUGUCCUUUUCCUCCCCAGUUAGCAAAUCAAUAGGGGAUACUGAAUUACUGGUCACCUUUUUAAUCCUCUAUAGAAUCAGGGCAAUAAGAAAGAAAAGAUGUCCAUUUCUUUCUUCUCUUUCCCAAGGCUUAAGAUCCAUCCUUUCCAAAUCUUUUAAAUCAAAACUACCAACAGAGCAAAUGUUUUGAGCGUGUGGUGUAAUGUUUGGUUUGGCAAUUGGAUUGUUGGUUUAUGUGAUAAUAAUUGGUAAUUUGAUAUGUAUCUUUAGUAUUUAACAUGGGAAUAGUACAAUCUUUAUUCUUGUAGACAUGUAAGAUGAUUAUUUUUGUGAACAUAUAUUGGUCAUAGAGGCAUGAUUAGAAUGUGAAGUUGCUUUCUUGAGGACAAGGGAGUGGUUUUACAGUCUGGAAUUUGUUGCCAUUUUAUGGUUCUAGGAAUUUAAAAAAAGCUAGGAAUAUGUAAUAAUUUAUAGUUGUUCUUCCUUUGGUUUAACUAACAUGUAUAAUGCAUGUGUUAUUUUCUUUGAUGUUUAUUGUUUUAUGUGAUAGUCCAACAAAUACAGAGAAAACCUGUGACCUCUCCUUUUUGCAAAGAUACAAUUACAAUCUGAAAUGUUUUUGUUCUGCCAAUGCAUGUAAUGAUAAUUUCAAUAAUUCAUCUGGCUAAUUAGUUGAAAAUGCUCUCAGGGAAUCUGGCUGAAUAUCUUUUUGACCUAAGGCUUUAUGUACUACCUAGGAUGCACGGAAACGGGAG